ensembl:lncRNA
GCCGGAGAGGGGGGGAAAUGGGUUUGCAGGGAGCAUCCCAACUCUUGGAGCACGCAGGAUCCUCUCUCCCUCCCCCGCUCCUUCCUUUCCUUCUUUGUGCCAUCACUUGUCCCGAUCUGCUGCUGUCUGUUCAAGGCAGACACCAGCCCAAACAAAGCGAACAGGCCGGGGCUGUAAUUAGGGCUGUCCCCAUUCCUGGGGAUAAUUAAUGGCAUCUAAUGCCUGGGAUGCGGGAGCAGCGCUUGAGCUGCGGCGCUUCUGGAGGAGGACAAGGCAGGGGAUCGGGGUCUCCAGCUGCUCUGUGGGGCUCCUCCUCUCCUCUCUUCUCCCAGAGUUUCAGGGAUCAGCUCUGUCCCAGGAGCUGCGUUCCCGGGACAGAGCGAGCUGGGAGAGGCAGCAGUGGGAAAUACCGUGUAGGGAACGCCCAUCCCAGAUUUCGAGCCCUGAUGGAGGGGGAAAGACCUUGGGGAGGUUUUGUCGUGGUCAGCAUCCUCUCUUUCUUCCCUUUCCAAGGAUUUCCCACUCGCUGGCAUCCUGGGGCAGAAUGCCGUGACUCUCUGAUUUUUGCUGGAUAAAGAGGUGUGAAAUCAGCCUGGAAAUGUCCACUGUAAACCAAGCACAGCCUCGCAGUUAACCCAUGGCUGUGAUUUUCACCAGAAAUCUCUUUUCUUGUGCUUUCCUUUCACUGCAGCCCUAACUCUGCCCGUCCCUUUUCCCUUCACCAAGCCAUGAAAUUGGGCAGGAGGAACAAACCGUGUGUGUGACUGGAGCAGGCAGGGACAGAGCUCCUGUGAUUUGCAGAGAUGUCGGGAGUGGAUUUGGCACCGCCGCUGCUGCUGAGGGCACCGGGAGGGGACACGGAGCUGCCUCACGCUCCAGGUCCAGCCAAACCACGGUUCUGGUUCUCCCCAUAACACCUGUGCUCAGGUUUGGAUGUCCUAACCAGCUCAUUGAACAAAAUCCUGUGGUGUGGAGAGUGAGGACAGCAGGAUUUCCUCCUGCGAGCGUUGCAGGGGUUGCGGUGUCGGCAGCUUUUUGGGUUUAUCUGCUGCAUCUGGGACUCCACGCUCCCCAAAUCCCUGCUGCCCUCAGAAGGGUGCCAAGGAACCACAGAGUCUUUUAGGCUGGAAAAGAUUUCUAAGAUCAUUGAGUUCAACCAUGACAGGUUGAAAUCCUUCCCCGUGAGGAUGGGGAGCCCCUGGUUCCCUGGAAGUGUCCAAGGCCAGGUUGGACACUGGAGCAGCCUGGGAUAGUGGAAGGUGUUCCGUGUGGAUCAAGAUGUUUUUUCAGGUCUCUUCCAACUCAAACCAUUCUUAAAACCAUCUCGUUCCACCCCCUGCCACGGGCAGAGACACCUCCCGCUGUCCCAGGUUGCUCCAAGUCUCAUCCCACCUGGCCCCGCCUUCAUUCCUGUCCUGAACAAUUCUGGAUGAUAAUUGCUCCUUCCUACCGUGGCAAAAUCCCUGACCGAAGCAGUCUUGCCUGGGGAAGGAGUCAGCCACGCAGAUUUCACCCUAUAAUUUUUCUGUGACACUCUGUCCCAAGCCAAAAAAAAGAAUAAAAAAAAAAAAUAAAAAAAAGAAGGAAAGUGG